UAUUAGAAAGCGAACCUUAUCGCAUCUAGUUUCGACCUAGACUUUGGCUAAAGCCUCUAAUAA
rnacentral:tRNA from 1 species